AUGGAAGAUGAACGUUCUGAAAGCUUUGAUGGUCAGACUCAUAGUAAAGGUUGUGACAGAAAAGGAAGGGCAGACUGGUACUCCUGUUGUUCUUUUCUACUUUUUCAUCCCAGCAGCAACCAUUUCAGGAUCCUUUUUCUUGCUGUCGACCCCCAUCAGAGCCUUUUCCUGGACGAAAGCCAGCAGCAGGAAUUAGACACCAAGCAUUGAGCUUUCCCAAGAGGCCGCAUGAGCAGGGGGAAGACUCGGUGGGCUGGGAUGCCUGCCUGGGCACCUGAGGGCUACAGCGUCGGGCUGUGCUUUGUCCUUCCGUUCUUUGCUGGGGUGAAUUUGGCUCCUCCAGCUUGCCUUACACAGCAGAGUAUAUAUUGACACAUUUUCAAAUUCUUUUUGGACUCACACAAAAACAAACUUUUUUAACACUUUAACUGAGUCCAAAAAACACAAGUAUUUGACUUUAUAGGCAAAGUAUGUUUUAAAGUAUCUUUUUCAAGCUUUGUUGGCAUUUCUGAAACUCAGCUGGUGGCAGCAUUCUCAGGUAUAUUUGACAUGAUCCUGAAAACUGGUUUUUGUCAUAAACCUGCAUAAAUCUCCAUUCUAAAUUGCUCUCCAAAAUGGAACGUUCUGCUUGAGGAAGGAUCUCAUAUAUAGGGGUAUUAAAAUAAAACUUUUUUUAAAGAUUGGUGCCUGAGCUAA
rnacentral:lncRNA from 1 species